rnacentral:snoRNA from 1 species
CUAUGAUGAAUACUAAACUUAAAAUAGCUGGAAUUACCUGUAGUGGUGACAUUUGGUUUUGUGAAA